rnacentral:rRNA from 1 species
AAUAGAUACCCGGGUAGUCCACGCCGUAAACGAUGUCGACUUGGAGGUUGUUCCCUUGAGGAGUGGCUUCCGGAGCUAACGCGUUAAGUCGACCGCCUGGGGAGUACGGCCGCAAGGUUAAAACUCAAAUGAAUUGACGGGGGCCCGCACAAGCGGUGGAGCAUGUGGUUUAAUUCGAUGCAACGCGAAGAACCUUACCUACUCUUGACAUCCAGAGAACUUAGCAGAGAUGCUUUGGUGCCUUCGGGAACUCUGAGACAGGUGCUGCAUGGCUGUCGCCAGCUCGUGUUGUGAAAUGUUGGGUUAAGUCCCGCAACGAGCGCAACCCUUAUCCUUUGUUGCCAGCGGUUCGGCCGGGAACUCAAAGGAGACUGCCAGUGAUAAACUGGAGGAAGGUGGGGAUGACGUCAAGUCAUCAUGGCCCUUACGAGUAGGGCUACACACGUGCUACAAUGGCGUAUACAAAGAGAAGCGACCUCGCGAGAGCAAGCGGACCUCAUAAAGUACGUCGUAGUCCGGAUUGGAGU